UGUCCUCCAUAGGAGGUCUAUAUUGAGCAGAUUCUUUUUGGUAUUGGGUGGUGGAACCGGAGCGUGCUCCAUCCACUCCAUGCAUUGACCUGGUAUUGCAGUGCUUCCAGGACCGGGGC
rnacentral:snRNA from 1 species